UGGGGAAUAUUGCACAAUGGGCGAAAGCCUGAUGCAGCAACGCCGCGUGAGUGAUGAAGGCCUUCGGGUUGUAAAGCUCUGUCUUUUGGGACGAUAAUGACGGUACCAAAGGAGGAAGCCACGGCUAACUACGUGCCAGCAGCCGCGGUAAUACGUAGGUGGCAAGCGUUGUCCGGAUUUACUGGGCGUAAAGGAUGCGUAGGCGGAUUUUUAAGUGAGAUGUGAAAACCCUAAGCUUAACUUGGGGACUGCAUUUCAUACUGGAAAUCUAGAGUGCGGGAGAGGAGAAUGGAAUUCCUAGUGUAGCGGUGAAAUGCGUAGAGAUUAGGAAGAACACCAGUGGCGAAGGCGAUUCUCUGGACCGUAACUGACGCUGAGGCAUGAAAGCGUGGGUAGCAAACAGGAUUAGAUACCCUGGUAGUCCACGCCGUAAACGAUGAGUGCUAGGUGUAGGAGGUAUCGACCCCUUCUGUGCCGCAGUUAACACAAUAAGUACUCCGCCUGGGAAGUACGAUCGCAAGAUUAAAACUC
rnacentral:rRNA from 1 species